rnacentral:lncRNA from 1 species
GGAUUGUUACUGGAUUGUUUUGAAAGGGGUGGUAACGUCUGGAUUGUUACUGGAUUGUUGGAAAAGUGUGGUGACCUCUGGAUUGUUACCAGAUUGUUUGGAAAGGGGUGGUGACCUCUGGAUUGUUACUGGAUUGUUGGGAAGGGGUGGUGACCUCUGGAUUGUUACUGGAUUGUUGGGAAGGGGUGGUGACCUCUGGAUUGUU